rfam:Ipomoea nil DNA, scaffold: scaffold3065, cultivar: Tokyo-kokei standard.
GUUAAUAUGUCUAAGUGGUUAAGGAGAUAGACUUGAAAUCUAUUGGGCUUUGCCUGCGCAGGUUCAAAUCUUGUUAUUGAUG